GAAAUACCACCCUUGUAUGUUUGAUGUUCUAACGUUGGCCCCUAAUCGGGGUUGCGGACAGUGCCUGGUGGGUAGUUUGACUGGGGCGGUCUCCUCCCAAAGAGUAACGGAGGAGCACGAAGGUGGGCUAAUCACGGUUGGACAUCGUGAGGUUAGUGCAAUGGCAUAAGCCCGCUUAACUGCGAGAAUGACGGUUCGAGCAGGUGCGAAAGCAGGUCAUAGUGAUCCGGUGGUUCUGAAUGGAAGGGCCAUCGCUCAACGGAUAAAAGGUACUCCGGGGAUAACAGGCUGAUACCGCCCAAGAGUUCAUAUCGACGGCGGUGUUUGGCACCUCGAUGUCGGCUCAUCACAUCCUGGGGCUGAAGUCGGUCCCAAGGGUAUGGCUGUUCGCCAUUUAAAGUGGUACGCGAGCUGGGUUUAGAACGUCGUGAGACAGUUCGGUCCCUAUCUGCCGUGGGCGUUGGAAGAUUGAAGGGGGCUGCUCCUAGUACGAGAGGACCGGAGUGGACGAACCUCUGGUGUUCGGGUUGUGUCGCCAGACGCAUUGCCCGGUAGCUAAGUUCGGAAUCGAUAACCGCUGAAAGCAUCUAAGCGGGAAGCGAGCCCUGAGAUGAGUCUUCCCUGAUACUUUAAGUAUCCUGAAGGGUUGUUCGAGACUAGAACGUUGAUAGGCAGGGUGUGUAAGCGCUGUGAGGCGUUGAGCUAACCUGUACUAAUUGCCCGUGAGGCUUAACCAU
rnacentral:rRNA from 1 species